ACAGAUACGUGAGCCAUUCACAGCCCGGCGCACGUAUUUGUAAAAUCUAAGUGGCUCGUACAACAUGAUAUUCAUAUAAAACGGAAUUAUCAAGUGUUAUAGGGGGUCGACUGUAUAUUGUCAACAGGCGUUGGCUUUAAUAGGAAAGGAAAUCGUUCGAAUAACUGCAGACUCUUUAUUAUCGUACUUGCCGUUUCGAGUGACUGAAACAGUUCAAUUCUCUUUUAGCACUGGAAAGUGAUAGUGCUGUGGCUUUUAAUUGUGAAAAGGAUGGAUGAGUCUAUGAUAUAAUUGUAGAACAGAAGGACAAUGUAUUACACUUGAAGAAAAGCAUUCAGGGAUAUGUAUAGCUAUUAAAUUGUUUGUGAUCAAGUGAUUUUAAGUCGCCAUUAUUUUACCAAAACAACACUUGCGUAAGAUUGGAAUGAAAGCUUUAUGGAUAAAUGUUUCAUCUAUACAUUCAUCAUCUAUAAACAAAUUAAAAUUAAAGAAAGGGUCUUAGAGUAUAAAUGGAUGCACUGCUUUCAGCUGUACAAAUCGUAGCAAGAAAGGAUUUUUGACAAAAGUUUUUUGAAACAUUUUGCAUGUUAUAAACUUUGGGAAAUGAAAGUGAAAAGAGAAAACUGGAAAGCAAAUGAUGGUAGGUAGUAUGAAGUACAUUUUUGCCUGACGAUUAGGGGAAAAAACUAGAGAUGGUACUAGAAAAUGCUGUUUCUUCCAUAUUUUCUUACACACCACCUGAAAAGUGUAGAAAGACUCCGGCAGUAAGAAACCUACUUCCUCCAAAUACCUGUAAACCUUUAAAAGAAGAUGCAAGUUCUGAUGAACAAACAUAAAAUUACAAAACAACAACAACGAUUUUCAACACAACAAUUCUACAAUAUCUAGUGAAGAUUUCAGUUCUGAGAAAUGCAAAGAUAAGGAUAAAAUAAUUUUUAAAUUAUACUUUAAAUUAAUUAAUGUUCAUAUAAGAUUACUUAACAAUAGAAUAGAGAAAUUUAGAAAUUAUUAAAAUGACUGGAAAUUUAAAAUAUGAAACUAGAUUAUUGUACAAAGUUAUAAAUUUUAUAAAAUAAAAGUCGACUUUAUUGAAACCGAUAAAGAAAAGUAAUGUGUUUUAAUUUUGGACGAUACAACACUAAAUCCAAGAACUGAUUAUGACACAAGUACUAAUACAUAUUAUGAUGAAAUAACAUUACUAAAUCAUACAGGUUUGGCUAUUCAUUCACUAGUCAUUACGUUGGGUGGUAGAAACACACAUUGCAUACUAUCAUUCUAGUAAUGUUCUUUUUAUUAAUCAGGUACAGUGAUGUGUACAUAUCCAUUACCACUUGGCACAACUGGUUGGCAAACUAAAUACUGUCAUCAUUGUAUAAAGAUGUUAAAUGCACAUAACAGUAAAUAAAUGGUAUGUGGACUCUGUCACUACUUGCAACGCGUGGGACUUAUCACAAUAAAGGGUUGGGUAGUUUCCCAGAAAACCAACAAUGUUCAAUAUAAUUUUUGUACUAUGGUCCAUUUGAAAUAUAAGUCUAUAAAAGUUUUGAAAGACCUGUAGAUUUCUACGUCUUGCAGGAGAAGGUUUUUAUUACAUGGCCAAUUUUAGUCUACAAUAUGUUUGUAGCCUAAAAUUUGCCUUUAGUCCUUUCUUUUUUUGAGUGUAGGGCAGUUGAACAGGUAGCGGUCACUUCCAUCCCAAAUAGAGCACUUAUCACCACAAUUUUGAACAUUUGUAAGUAGCUUUGGAAGCAGUCAUGGUUCAUUAUAAAUUGGAUUAUAUUGUGAUCGAAUUUGAGCUAAUUGUAGAUACUUUUGAUGUAUGAUAUGGAUAUUUAGCAAUACAGUCUUCCACUUCAGUGGCAAUUGCCAGCAGUUCUGCUUGUGUAACACUGCAUGUAUCAUCUAAUUUGAGAAGUUGCUCUUAAUUUCUGUAUAUAUAUGAUAUAUUACAUAACUGGCACCAACUUUAUUGUUGAUUAUAGACCCAUCUGUGUACAUGUCUAUAUGAUUGUCCGUCAAUGGUUCAGAGUAAAAAUAUUUUGUUUUACUUGGGUUCUGGAUAAGUGCAUAAGGGAUCUUUCAUUUGAAAUCAUCAUUUUUAAGUUUGUCAUCCUUUAUCGUGUUUCAGUUUCCAUUUUAAUGUAUGGUAUUUGAUUUAGAGAUCCAUGGAGGCUUUUCUAGCAAUUAUCUGGAGGCUGUUAGUAGGAGUUAUUCUGUAACCUUUAAUGAGAUUCAAUAAUGCUUUCCUUUGGCCUGAAAUUAGUUUCUUUUUAUUAUAUAUUUUGUGCAUGGCUUAUUCCCAAACCAGACAGGCAUAGGUAAUUAUUGGUAUAAAUGUCAUUAUAGAUUGAGUCCAUAGCAUGAGAGUUCAAGCCUCCAGUUGCUUUUACCAACCUUAAAGAAAGAUUGAAAGAUUAAACCUGUUUUCUUACAAAUGUUCUCAAUAUGUGUGGUCCAAAGUAGCUUAAAGUCAAGUGUAAUCCCUAAAUAUUUAAUGUUUUUCUCUAUUUUUAUACUUUCCGAUACCAUCUGAAUUGUCUGUACUCUCUUGUACAAGUGUUGAGCACCUAGCUUGUUCCAGACAAUUCCUGUGUUUUUCCUGGAUUGAAGAUCAGCUUGUUUUCCUUCCCCUUUCACUUAUUUUUGACAUAGCCUACUUUACUUUCCUUUCGAGUUAGCCGUUGACAGCAUGAGUGUGUCAUCUGCAAACACAAUGACUUUGUCCUGCCCGAAAUCUUGGGUCAAAAAAUCAUUGAAAAGGAUGUACCAUAGAAGUAAUCCACAGACCGAACCCUGUGGACAGCCUGUUAUACCUCUUCUCAAAAGUAAUAUUUCCUGUUUUGAUGGCAAUAAUUCUCUGAUGAAGGUAUUCUUGGUCAGUAGGUAGAUAUUUGUGGGGAAUUGUAGUUGCAUGAGUCUAUAGAGAAUCAUU